rnacentral:sRNA from 1 species
AGCAGCCGCGGUAAUUCCAGCUCCAAUAGCGUAUAUUAAAGUUGUUGCAGUUAAAAAGCUCGUAGUUGAAUUUCGGGGUCAGUAGGUCGGUCGUGCCACAGGUAUGCACUGGUCUCACUGAUUCCUCCUUCCUGAUGAACCGGAAUGCCAUUAAUUUGGUGUUGCGGGGAGACUGGACUGUUACUUUGAAAAAUUAGAGUGUUUAAAGCAGGCUAACGCUUGAAUACAUUAGCAUGGAAUAACGGAAUAGGACGUUCGAUCUUAUUUUGUUGGUUUCUAAGAUUGACGUAAUGAUUAAUAGGGAUAGUUGGGGGCAUUAGUAUUCAAUUGUCAGAGGUGAAAUUCUUGGAUUUAUUGAAGACUAACUACUGCGAAAGCAUUUGCCAAGGAUGUUUUCAUUAAUCAAGAACGAAAG